UACAGAGGUCUCAAGCGUUGUUCGGAUUCAUUGGGCGUAAAGGGUGCGUAGGCGGCGCGGUAAGUCGGGUGUGAAAUCUCGGAGCUUAACUUCGAAACUGCAUUCGAUACUGCCGUGCUUGAGGACUGGAGAGGAGACUGGAAUUUACGGUGUAGCGGUGAAAUGCGUAGAUAUCGUAAGGAAGACCAGUGGCGAAGGCGAAUCUCUGGACAAUUCCUGACACUGAUGCUCGAAAGCUAGGGGAGCAAACGGG
rnacentral:rRNA from 1 species